UGUCUCUAAGCCUAUACUAUCCCUCAGUGAC
rnacentral:piRNA from 1 species